GUCUCCUUAGCUCAAUUGGGAGAGCGCCAGACUGAAGAUCUGCAACGAUCCUAAUCAUUCCCAAAGGUUCGAUCCACGAAGGGGACA